rfam:Musca domestica strain aabys unplaced genomic scaffold Scaffold18586, whole genome shotgun sequence.
CUACAUCUACCCUGUAGAUCCGAAUUUGUUCUGAUAUUUGAAUGACAAAUUCGGUUCUAGAGAGGUUUGUGUG